rnacentral:rRNA from 1 species
AAUAAUACUCAGGUAGUCCACGCCGUAAACGAUGAGUGCUAAGUGUUAGAGGGUUUCCGCCCUUUAGUGCUGAAGUUAACGCAUUAAGCACUCCGCCUGGGGAGUACGGUCGCAAGACUGAAACUCAAAGGAAUUGACGGGGGCCCGCACAAGCGGUGGAGCAUGUGGUUUAACUCGAAGCAACGCGAAGAACCUUACCAGGUCUUGACAUCCUCUGACAACCCUAGAGAUAGGGCUUUCCCUUCGGGGACAGAGUGACAGGUGGUGCAUGGUUGUCGUCAGCUCGUGUCGUGAGAUGUUGGGUUAAGUCCCGCAACGAGCGCAACCCUUGAUCUUAGUUGCCAGCAUUUAGUUGGGCACUCUAAGGUGACUGCCGGUGACAAACCGGAGGAAGGUGGGGAUGACGUCAAAUCAUCAUGCCCCUUAUGACCUGGGCUACACACGUGCUACAAUGGACGGUACAAAGAGUCGCAAGACCGCGAGGUGGAGCUAAUCUCAUAAAACCGUUCUCAGUUCGAAUUGUAGGCUGC